UCCUACGGGGGGCAGCAGUGAGGAAUAUUGGUCAAUGGUCGGGAGACUGAACCAGCCAAGCCGCGUGAGGGAUGGAGGUACAGAGUAUCGUAAACCUCUUUUGUCAGGGAACAAAGGCGGGGACGUGUCCCCGGAUGAGUGUACCUGAAGAAAAAGCAUCGGCUAACUCCGUGCCAGCAGCCGCGGUAAUACGGAGGAUGCGAGCGUUAUCCGGAUUUAUUGGGUUUAAAGGGUGCGCAGGCGGUCUGUUAAGUCAGCGGUCAAAGCCCGGGGCUCAACCCCGGCCCGCCGUUGAAACUGGCAGU
rnacentral:rRNA from 1 species